UCAUGAUAAUGGGUUAGGUAAAUGUUUCAUGAUAAGAAUUUCAUGUCUUUUGUAUUAAAGAAUUAAAUGGAUGAAAUAUGAAGUUUUAUUAAAAGAAAAAGGGGUGAAAAGAACAAAGUUUUGUCCAUCUUUGUUCAUCAUAGCUGAAAGUUAGAGAAGAGAAAAGAGAGGAGAAAGCUCCUGAGUAUUUGGUCAUUAGGAGGAGGAAAAUUGAAGGCGGUUCGUGUGUGGAUCUCGUCAGCAUAUCGUCGCAAACAGGAAAUCCCCAACCAUAGUGGGCUUAGAGCUGUGAGGGAAUUCGGAGUGGCCACCAGUUCUGAAAGUUUGAUUUUCUUCUGGUGAACUGGACAUCCUUUUAUUUACGUUUGAAGUUUUGGGUUUUUAAAUAUAAUAAGGCCGCUUAAUUAUUUUUGAUGGUUUUAAUAUGUAUUACUAAGAUAGGUAUUACUUAUUUUAACUGUUGAAAUUGGAUAGCUUUAGGGCGCGUUUUCAAAAACAACAAUUGAUUUCAAAAUAACUCGACAACAAGCAAAGCUUCCGCAAUGAAAGUAUUUUCCAAAAUUAAUCACUUUUCCUAAAAAUGACUUAAUCAAAUCGGUUUCCUAGAAAUAUCCAUGACGUUAAGGUGUGGCAAUGGCGGUAUGCAUGUCUAGGAUUGGAUCCGAAGGGAGCUUGGUACUUAAGCAGUCCGAUGGACUCACCACCUCUUUUCCGGUUUCCUACCUGGUGCACAGCUUCCAUUCACUUUAAUCCUUAAUGAAUUAAUCUUUUGAACAUCAAGUACGAUUUUCUGGACUUAGAAUGGAAAUUUUUUUUAACGUUUUUGAUGUGGCAUGCCGAAUCCGGCCAUAACUUCUGGGCCGGGUUUGGGGUGCUACAGACAAUAUGAGUACUUGAUAUCCAUAAUUUAUGGUACAAAUUGAUACAAAUUGAUAAUGGGUUAGGUAAAUGUUCCAUGAUAAUGGAUUAGGUAAAUAUUCCAUGAUAAUGGUUUAGGUAAAUGUUUCAUGAUAAGAAAUUCAUGUCUUUUGUAUUAAAGAAUUAAAUGGAUGAAAUAUGAAGUUUUAUUAAAAGAAAAAGGGGUGAAAGGAACAAAGUUUUGUCCAUCUUUGUUCAUCAUAGCUGAAAGUUAGAGAAGAGAAAGGAGAGGAGAAAGCUCUUGAGUAUUCGGUCAUUAGGAGGAGGAAAAUUGAAGGCGGUUCGUGAGUGGAUCUCGUCAGCAUAUCAUCGCAAACAGGUGUGUAACUAACACCCUCUUUCUUAGUCUGGAUCGGCAAAAGUCGAAAAGCCGAAAUGCCGAAAACCAGUAUUUUGUAGAUUUGCGAGUGUGCGAAUGCUCGUGAGGUAAAUCGAUUAAUGUUUUUGGUAAGCUGCAAAAUUUGGACUGUAAAGUGCAUGAUUUCUGUGCCCUCGAUAUUUUUGGGCUUAAUGGGCCAAAAUUAGAAUGAUGGGCCAACGAGCCCAAUUCGGUAAGAACCCUCGGUACGUCAUUCUGUUAGUACGCGAAAAGUAGGAAAAUGCAUGAAAAACC